rnacentral:rRNA from 1 species
CUACGGGUCGCUGCAGUAAGGAAUAUUGGGCAAUGGACGCAAGUCUGACCCAGCCAUGCCGCGUGCAGGAUGACUGCCCUAUGGGUUGUAAACUGCUUUUCUGAGGGAAAAAUCUCCCGAACGUGUUCGGGAUUGAUGGUACCUCAGGAAUAAGCACCGGCUAACUCCGUGCCAGCAGCCGCGGUAAUACGGAGGGUGCAAGCGUUAUCCGGAUUCAUGGGUUUAAAGGGUGCGCAGGCGGAUUGAUAAGUCAGUUGUGAAAUCUCCGGGCUCAGCUGGGAAACUGCCAUUGAUACUGUCAAUCUUGAAUAUAGUUGUAGAAGGCGGAAUACGGCAUGUAGCGGUGAAAUGCAUAGAUAUGCCGUAGAACACCGAUCGCGAAGGCAGCUUACUAAGCUACUAUUGACGCUGAGGCACGAAAGCGUGGGGAGCAAACAGGAUUAGAUACCCCCGUAGUC